AAAUAUUGAGAAAAUUGCAAGUGCAGCCCCUAGGGUUCACAAGCCCAAGGAAUUAACCCAAUUAUUUUCUAACUAGAAUUUAUAUAUUGCCCUUCCUCAAAAUUCUAAUAGAAUUUGCCUCCCAUCCUUCUAUUUAUUCUCUUUUUAUUUUCUUUCUCUUUUCUUUACACCAUAUUUUCAUCCUAAUUGUUGAUAAUUAUUUUACUUUCCCGACUCAAAU
rnacentral:lncRNA from 1 species